UUGGUCCUACCAAUAGUUAUAUGCUUAUCUCAAAGAUUAAGUCAUGCAUGUGUAAGUAUAAACUAAUUCAGACUGUGAAACUGUAAAUGGCUCAUUAAAUCAGUUAUAGUUUGUUUGAUAGUAUCUACUACUCGGAUAAUCGUAGUAAUUCUAGAGCUAAUACGUGCAACAAAUCCCGACUUCUGGAAAAGAUGCAUUUAUUAGAUAAAAAGUCAAAGCGGGCUUGUCCCGUUGCUUUGAUGAUUUAUGAUAACUCAACGGAUCGCACGGCCUUUGUGUCGGCGACGCAUUAUUCAAAUUUUUGCCCUAUCAACUUUCGAUAGUAGGAUAGUGGCCUACUAUGGUGGUGACGGUGAUAAAGAAUUAAUGUUCGAUUUCAGAAAGGGAGCCUGAGAAACGGCUACCACAUCCAAGGAAGGCAGCAGGCAUACAAAUUACCCAAUCCUGACACGAGAAGGUAGUGACAAUAAAUAAUAACACCAGGCUCACUGAGUCUGGUAAUUGGAAUGAGUACAAUCUAAAUCCCUCAACGAGGAUCUAUUAGAGGGCAAGUCUGGUACUAGCAGCCAUGGUAAUUCCAGGUCUAAUAGCAUAUAUUUUAAGUUGUUAUAGUCAAAAAGCUCGUAGUUGGACUUGGGGAUGGGUCGACCGGUUCGCCCUUGGGUGUGCAUCGAUCGUCUCGUCCAUUCUGCUGGCAAUGAGCUCUUGGCCUUAAUUAGCCAGGUUGUGCCUCUAGCAUUGUUACUUUGAAAAGAUUAAGAGUGCUCAAAGCAAGCCUCCACUCUGGAUACAUUAGCAUAGGAUAAUAUCAUAGGAUCUUGAUCCUAUUACAUUGGCAUUCGGAAUCGAAAUCAUGAUUAACAAGGACAGUCGGGGGCAUUCGUAUUUCAAAGUUAGAGAUCAAAGUCUUGGAUUUAUGAAAGACAAACAACUACGAAACCAUUUGCCAAGGAUAUAUUUAUUAAUUAAUAACAAAAGUUGGAGACUCGAAGACGAUCAAAUACCAUCCCUAGUCUCAACCAUAAACAAUGCCGACUAAGAUCAGUAGAUUUUUCUUUUAGGACUCCGUGGGCACCUUAUGAGAAAUCAAAGUUUUUGGGUUUCAGAAAGACAAAGUCUUUUAACAAUGGGGGUGCAUGACAUUGACUUGGCGCUUUGUGUGGAGAACCACCCGUUCCUACUGAAUUAAGCAUACCAAAUGAGAGGCUAUUUACGAAUGUUGGGAGCAAUCUAAUCGCUUAAGUUUAAUGCUCAUUAAGUCCCACAUCAGCAUAAGUAUUUGAUGGUCAAUUCUUGAGUGCAAUAAGGUAAAGGACCUUAUGAAGGCUAUUGAUGAGCAAUUUGCAAGUUCUAAUAAAGCACUGGCAAGCGAAAAAACUUUCAGGUAUCAAACAUGACAACUCUAAGAGUGGGCGUGAACACAUCAUGGAGAUGAGGAACAUUGCUGCUCGACUAAAGUUAUUGAGAUAGAAAUCUCAAAGUCAUUCUUGGUUAAAUUCAUUCU
rnacentral:rRNA from 1 species